UAAAUAUAAUAGGAGCUAUUUUUAUUAACAAUAAUUUCAAAGUAGAAUCAGACUUUUCAAAGGGAAAAGAUCCUCUUAGUGAAGAAACAAGAUUUACUACCAGAAUAAGUAGUUAAUUCAGACUAGUUUGGAUUCUGUGACUCUGUUUAGUGUCUGACCGUUCCCACCCUGAAUAUGAUUUGUAGCCAGCAGUCCUUGAAUUGUGGUGUAGUAGAUUUUGCCAUCUCCAAUGUCAUGGUCUGGGUGAACUGCUAUGGAGUGAAGUACACACGUCUUGGACUGUGGAAGUGUGAUGUGAUCACUGAAGAGUGUUUGGUGCUUUCCUGUUUACAGUGCAAAUGUACAAGCCAGAGACCUAGGAAGCCCUAGGAAAUGGAGAGCACUCAAGAUGGAAGGAGUCUGAGUCCCUGAGGACCACAUGGAAGAAAGCUGGCCGUUAACCAGGAAUACUUCCUUUGGACAAUUAUAUGAAUGGAAAAUGAACUUUUGUGUUAAUCUAAUGAAAUUUGGUGGUUUAUUUUUAGAGACACUAGAAAACCAGCAUUGCCUUUGGUAAUAAAAAUCUUUUAUAUGUUU